rnacentral:lncRNA from 10 species
CGGAGUGCUUAGUGUUCUGUGCCCAGAUGGUGCAUUUCAUUAUGGGAAGCUCCGGGCCUCCCAGCUGGCCUGUUUGGCCACAGUGUUGCUCUUCAGUGUCAUUUGAUGGCAUGUGCCAACAGAUACAGGUACAGGUGUCUUUGCUGAUUUUUUUUUUUUUUUAAAUAUGGAAUGCUUCAUGAAUUUGCGUGUCAUCUUUGCGCAGGGGCCAUACUAAUCUUCUCUGUAUCAUUCCAAUUUUAGUAUACGUGCUGCCGAAGCGAGCACUUUGCGGACAUUUUAAUAGUCACCGGGGAUGCAAGCAUCAGGUGACAAGGAGCGCAGACCAACAAGCUGUCAGGAGGGUGGCUUCCUGGUAGGAGGCAGCACAGGGGAGCCCUUUUCAACGAUAUUUUAUUUCCAUCCCGUUGGCAUUGCCCACAGGGAAGAAUACCUCAGAGCACGGGCCAAGCUGUCUGCAACUCAGUGGGAAGUUGAACAAACCAAACUUUACAAAGGGAGGAAGAACGAGGUGCCCCAAAUUAUGGAGACACAGGGACUGGUUACCAAGACCAUGGACCGGAACAAGAACCUCGCUCCCCAUUAACCAACCGCAUGGCCUUGGUGUGCCUAGAUUUCCUCUUUUGUAAAGUGAGGCUGAAGUGUCUCCCUUUGGAUGGUAGGCGAGGACCAAGAGGCCCAGCGCCUGGCGGUGGUGAGUCCAGGCCAGGGAGGCAAAGGUCUCUUCUAAUAAAGGAGCUCUAGCGUGGGGCACAGUGGAUGUCUCAGCACAGUGGAUGUGUGGGGCUGGAUCAUCCUCUGUGGUGGGAGCUGGCUUGUGCAGUGUGGGACAUUUUGCAGGCACCCUGGUGACCUCUACCCACCCAUGAGAUGCCAGCAGCACCCUCUGCCUCCAGCCCCAGUGUGACAACUAAAAAUGUUUCUUGAUGUUGUCAAAUAUCCUCCAGGGGACAAAACCAGCCCCAGUUGAGCACCACUGCUCUCAGAUUUCUCAGCAGCCCUCACCUGCAUGUCAACUGGACCUGGGGGGGCCAGCUUUAUCAGUCCCCAUUUCACAGGUGCACACACCUGGAGAGGUGAUGUACUUGGCUUAAGGUCAGGCAGGAGAGCAAACUAGGCUUUCAGUCUAGCUCUCCUGACCCCCACCCCUCAAACCAGAGCUCACUCCAUGAAUUCAACACACAAUCUAGAAUUAGAGAGGUGGCAGAAAGGAGAUUGGGUUUCUUUUUACAAAAUAGAAAUACACAGGUGCCCAGGGUUGCCCUCCAUUGGUAGAGGUCGUGGCACCCACACAGCCCGGGUGCACUGAGCUUGCCCUGCCCCUCGGUUGGCCCAGUACAAAUCUCUGCAUUCAGAGGGGUUUAAUAAGUGCUGUUGACUCAUGAGCAGCCCAGGGGAGGGAAAGGAGCAUGGAAGGAGUGAGCAGUCAUGACUCAAGGCCAUUGUGAGCGCCAAUGGCCACCCGUCCCACUCCCACACCAGCCCCGUGCUGCCCGGCAACCCGCGUAGGACAGAAACAGAGGCCAAACAGACAUGAUACAGCUUCUGAUAGAGAAGGACAGGUCCUGGUCCUCCUGUCCUCUGGCCUGAGGGGCUGAAGGUGACUUGAGGUCCCAAGACCGUGGAGCUGGGACAUAGGUUGGCACCCCUGCACUGUUGAGAGUACAAGAACCCCAUGAGAGCCGCUCUCAGCCACAGACUCAUCCCUGUACCUUCCACGGGGUGUACGCCGGGCGUGAGUGCACCAAAGUUGCAUCCCUCCCCUGGUGUUGGUGACCGGCCCAAGCCCCUGAUUUCCCUAAAGACCGAAGUCUAAUGCCUGAGAUGGAUCCUAACGUUACAGGCACUGGCUGCAGCAAGCCUCUGACUCUGGGGCGAAUCCUCUGGGGCCUCAUCACACCCUCCCCUCCCCAAAGUCAAGGAAGCCACACCUCCUGGGCCGACUGUGAGGCUCAGUUAUCUUUAUAGGAAAUCCUGACGCUUUCCUGCAAAACCCUGUGGUUGGAAUAAAAGAUGUUCCAGAAUUUUGUUAUGCCAUGCAAGGCCUUUUCCUUGAACGCUUGCUGUUCACUUCAUUGUGCCUUCACGUAUGCAUCAUUUGGUGCAAAACUGUUUUGUGUCAAGGCCUCUGCCAGGUUGGGGGUCUCUGUACUGCAGCCGAGCUGCUGGGCUGCAGGUUUCUCUUGGGGGGAUACUGUGUGUGACAACCAUUGGCUGUACACUCCGGGCCUCACGUCUGUGGGAGAAAUGAAUGGGAACAUGAGCCAGGAGCAUCACCAGCAGUGGAGGAAUUGUCCCAACCCUGCGCUGGGGAAUCAGAACCUUCAAGGCCCUCUGGGUUUGGCGCCGAAGACCUCGUCCUCCUGAUGCAACGUUUCUGUACAAUAAAGGUGUGCGUUACUGGGCCCUGCGGAGUGUGUGUCAUUGAGAUAUUCUACUAUCCACGCUAACAAGAGUAAAAAUAAUCAGGGGAAAUCAAUAAUCUAUGUUAUGUGACCUGUUAUAUAAAGAAUAUCAUCUCAACAUGUCCUCAGUAUAAAAGUUCCUGGCCAGGCAUGGUGGCUCACACUUGUAAUCCCAGCACUUUGGGAGGCUGAAGUGGAGGAUCACUUGAGGCUAGGAGUCAGAGACCAGCCUGGACAACACAGUCAGAUCCCAUUUCUAAAAAAGAAAAAAAAAAUUAGCCAGGCAUGGUGGUGCGUGCCUAUAAUCCCAGCUACUUGGGAAAUUCAGGUGGGAGGAUUGCUUAAGCCCAGAAGUUUGAGGCUGCAGCGAGCUAUGAUUGCACCAAUG